rnacentral:lncRNA from 1 species
UGAUUUCUAAGAUUUAACGUUCUAUGACAAACAUAUUCCAAAAUGUUUGGAUAAUGUUUUUAUAAUUCUAAUUUUAAUGACUACAUAACAUUCCAGCCCGUUAUUUAUUAUAAGCUAGUUAUCAUUUCUUCUAUCAAUUAGAUUACUUUUGAGGUUGUUAAUAUUCCAGUUAAAAUCUUUAUGCCUGUAUUUAUUUUCUUCUUUUGAAUUUUUUUCUUAUAAUAAGUGAUCAGAACUGGGAAUGUGGUUGUAGAAAUGGCUUCUCAUUUUUGCACUGUAACCAGCAGUCAGUGUGAAUACUAGUUUCAUCACUUUACCUGCUUUGGAUAUUAACAUUUUAAAAAAUCUUAAUUACUAUUUGAUAAUGCAAAUGGCACCUCGCUUUUUGUUGUCUUCACAGAAUAAAAACUAGUAUAACAAGUGCUAUUUAUUGGUUAAAAUCAUAUAUACAAAAAUUUCACUAUUGUUUUAACUCAUUAACAUUUGCUGAACAUGCAAGAUGCAAUAAUGCAGGGUUCUUUUGUCUCACUAUUAUUUCAUUCUUUUUUUAAGCUGUCUGUGGAAGCCCGUAAAGAGAUGACUAGAAAGGCUAUUAAGACAGUCAAACAUUUUAUUGAGAAGCCAAGGAAAAGAAACUCAGAAGAUGAAACUCAAGAAGCUAAAGAUUCUAAAGUUACCUAUGCAGAUGCUUUGAAUCAUCUGGAGAAAUCACUUGCCCACCUGGAAACCCUGAGCCACAGCUUCAUCCUUUCUCUGAAGAAUAGUGAGCAGGAAACACUGCAAAAUACAGUCACCUCUAUGAUCUGUCCCGAUCAGAAAAGAGAAACUUCAUGAUGAAGCCGUGGCUAUUUGUUUAGAUGGUCAGCCUCUAGCAAUGAUUCAGCAGCUGCUACAGGUGGCAGUUGGCCCUCUUGACCUCUCACCCAAGGAUAUAGUGCAGAGUGCAAUCAUGAAAAUAAUUUCUGCAUUGAGGUAAGCUACAAAGUGAUCAUUGUGGAAAACUGGGGUGACACUUUGUCAAUGAUGGUGCUAAGCU